rnacentral:rRNA from 1 species
UUCGGAGGUACUCGAGUGGCGAACGGGUGAGUAACACGUGGGCAAUCUGCCCUGCACUUCGGGAUAAGCCUGGGAAACUGGGUCUAAUACCGGAUAGGACCUCAAGACGCAUGUCUUCUGGUGGAAAGCUUUUGCGGUGUGGGAUGGGCCCGCGGCCUAUCAGCUUGUUGGUGGGGUGACGGCCUACCAAGGCGACGACGGGUAGCCGGCCUGAGAGGGUGUCCGGCCACACUGGGACUGAGAUACGGCCCAGACUCCUACGGGAGGCAGCAGUGGGGAAUUAUUGCACAAUGGGCGCAAGCCUGAUGCAGCGACGCCGCGUGGGGGAUGACGGCCUUUCGGGUUGUAAACCUCUUUCACCAUCGACGAAGGUCCGGGUUUUCUCGGAUUGACGGUAGGUGGAGAAGAAGCACCGGCCAACUACGUGCCAGCAGCCGCGGUAAUACGUAGGGUGCGAGCGUUGUCCGGAAUUACUGGGCGUAAAGAGCUCGUAGGUGGUUUGUCGCGUUGUUCGUGAAAUCUCACGGCUUAACUGUGAGCGUGCGGGCGAUACGGGCAGACUAGAGUACUGCAGGGGAGACUGGAAUUCCUGGUGUAGCGGUGGAAUGCGCAGAUAUCAGGAGGAACACCGGUGGCGAAGGCGGGUCUCUGGGCAGUAACUGACGCUGAGGAGCGAAAGCGUGGGGAGCGAACAGGAUUAGAUACCCUGGUAGUCCACGCCGUAAACGGUGGGUACUAGGUGUGGGUUUCCUUCCUUGGGAUCCGUGCCGUAGCUAACGCAUUAAGUACCCCGCCUGGGGAGUACGGCCGCAAGGCUAAAACUCAAAGGAAUUGACGGGGGCCCGCACAAGCGGCGGAGCAUGUGGAUUAAUUCGAUGCAACGCGAAGAACCUUACCUGGGUUUGACAUGCACAGGACGCGUCUAGAGAUAGGCGUUCCCUUGUGGCCUGUGUGCAGGUGGUGCAUGGCUGUCGUCAGCUCGUGUCGUGAGAUGUUGGGUUAAGUCCCGCAACGAGCGCAACCCUUGUCUCAUGUUGCCAGCGGGUAAUGCCGGGGACUCGUGAGAGACUGCCGGGGUCAACUCGGAGGAAGGUGGGGAUGACGUCAAGUCAUCAUGCCCCUUAUGUCCAGGGCUUCACACAUGCUACAAUGGCCGGUACAAAGGGCUGCGAUGCCGUAAGGUUAAGCGAAUCCUUUUAAAGCCGGUCUCAGUUCGGAUUGGGGUCUGCAACUCGACCCCAUGAAGUCGGAGUCGCUAGUAAUCGCAGAUCAGCAACGCUGCGGUGAAUACGUUCCCGGGCCUUGUACACACCGCCCGUCACGUCAUGAAAGUCGGUAACACCCGAAGCC